rnacentral:pre_miRNA from 1 species
CUAUUACUCUCUCCGUCCAACAAAGAAUGUUUCAACUUUGACUAAAUUUAAAUGCAUUACACUAAAUCAUGUCUAGAUACAUUCAAAUUUUGACAAACUUUAGACAUCUUUUGUUGAACGGAGGGAGUAUUAU